GGCUCCGGCUGCGGCUGAGGCCCGGACCAGCACGCGUGGAGCGGUGGCACUGCCAACCGCGCAGGAGCCUUGCGACAAGAUAGAGGGAGUCGUCAGAGAGGCCAGAGACUCCGGGGUGUCGCCCCUCUGUAGCCCCCUGUGGACACCCUAGGGAUAUCUCUUAGAAGGAUCCACGCCUGGUAACCUCAAAAUGAAUUUCUACCAGAUUAGGGUUUGCUGAAAUGGCAGAGAGGAAAGAGGCCUGAGGGUACAUCAGAGGUGAACUUCACUAACACACAACAAUCUCCAGAACUACAACAACAACAGCAGCACAGCUGAAGGCGUGCUUUCUACCAUAGACUUUUCUUCUUGUAGUCAGGAAAUACGGUGGAAGGGGAGACAAACCGAAUGUGAGCGCCAGAAAGAAGAGGAGGAAAGGAGGAGAGCUACCUCAGGCUGUCUCUAAGCGCCACAUCGCAUUCAAAGUCAUGACAGUGCCGCAGCCACGCCCACCACAUUGGGUUGUCAACA
rnacentral:lncRNA from 1 species